AUAGUCAUUUUCAUGUUUCAUGUAUGCAACUGCCCUGUGAAGACAAACUGAAUGAUAGGAGAUUGAUUUGGAUUUGUUCUUUGUGUGGAAAUAACAACAUCGCUCAUCGCAUGUUUGAUCAAGUAUGUAUCCCUUCUCAUUUCAAUAGAUACGAACUUCUUGGUGAUCAUGAUGAACACUGUUACUUGGAUUUGAACCAAUCAAGGACCCUAUCAAGUACGACCAACAAAAGAAAAUGUGGCAGAUCAAAGAAGAGAUCAAGGAUUUCCGAAUGUACAGAGUUCAUGCUGGUGGCAAGAGAAAAGAAGCAAAGAACAAGAAAGGUCGAGCAAGGAACAAGAAAGAUGUUUCAGAUGGUGUACAAGAAGAUGCAGUGUUUGACAAUGACCUGAAGAAUAGAAGCUUUGAUACAGUAAAAGAUGAAGCAGUCGAGGUUUCCUGAGUUGUAACGGACACAGUGUUGUACUUCGUACUCAAAGCUGGCAAGGUGUGUACAAGCAUUGCAUGAGAUAACUGCUUCAGAUGACUGCAAAGCGCAACGUUGCAAAGCUCAUUUCUACAACCCUAGUCAUCAAUGACAGUGCACCACCAUAUCCCUUUGCUCACCAGUUGAAACAAACUACCGCCCUCGAGUCAGAAGGCUGUCCUCAUCAUCCAACACACAGCGGUAACAUCACCCAAGGACUUCAGCCCUCCGGUGAUACCUGGUUCAGCAAAGACUAGGCCUUGGGGAGUGUUUACGGCUCUGUCAUCAUAACAGCAUUGUGGCAGAAGUAUGGAACACCAGCAUAUACAGGAUAACUUCUUCAGAUGACUGCAAAGCGCAACAUUGCAAAGCUCACUUCUACAACCCUAGUCACCAAUGACCGUGCACCACCAUACCCCUUUGCUCACCAGUUCAAACAAACUACCGCCCUCGAGUCAGAAGGCUGUCCUCAUCGUCCAACACACAGCGGUAACAUCACCCCAGGACUUCAGCCCUCCGGUGAUACCUGGUUCAGCGAAGACUAGGCCUUGGGGAGUGUUUACGGCUUUGUCACCAAAACAGCAUUGUGGCAGAAGUAUGGAACACCAGCAUAUACAUGUAAUGUAUCGGGACCUUUACAGGAUAACUUCUUCAGAUGACUGCAAAGCGCAACGUUGCAAAGCUCAUUUCUACAACCCUAGUCACCAAUGACAGUGCACCACCAUACCCCUUUGCUCACCAGUUCAAACAAACUACCGCCCUCGAGUCAGAAGGCUGUCCUCAUCGUCCAACACACAGCGGUAACAUCACCCCAGGACUUCAGCCCUCCGGUGAUACCUGGUUCAGCGAAGACUAUGCCUUGGGGAGUGUUUACGGCUCUGUCACCAAAACAGCAUUGUGGCAGAAGUAUGGAACACCAGCAUAUACAUGUAAUGUAUCAGGACCUUCACAGGAUGACUGCAAAGCGCAACAUUGCAAAGCUCAUUUCUACAACCCUAGUCACCAAUGACAGUGCACCACCAUAUCCCUUUGUUCACCAGUUCAAACAAACUACCGCCCUCGAGUCAGAAGGCUGUCCUCAUCAUCCAACACACAGCGGUAACAUCACCCAAGGACUUCAGCCCUCCGGUGAUACCUGGUUCAGCAAAGACUAGGCCUUGGGGAGUGUUUACGGCUCUGUCAUCAUAACAGCAUUAUGGCAGAAGUAAGGAACACCAGCAUAUACAGGAUGACUGCAAAGCGCAAUGUUGCAAAGCUCACUUCUACAACCCUAGUCACCAAUGACCGUGCACCACCAUACCCCUUUGCUCACCAGUUCAAACAAACUACCGCCCUCGAUUUAGAAGGCUGUCCUCAUCGUCCAACACACAGCGGUAACAUCACCCCAGGACUUCAGCCCUCCGGUGAUACCUGGUUCAGCGAAGACUAUGCCUUGGGGAGUGUUUACGGCUCUGUCACCAAAACAGCAUUGUGGCAGAAGUAUGGAACACCAGCAUAUACAUGUAAUGUAUCGGGACCUUCACAGGAUAACUUCUUCAGAUGACUGCAAAGCGCAACGUUGCAAAGCUCAUUUCUACAACCCUAGUCACCAAUGACAGUGCACCACCAUAUCCCUUUGCUCACCAGUUGAAACAAACUACCGCCCUCGAGUCAGAAGGCUGUCCUCAUCGUCCAACACACAGCGGUAACAUCACCCCAGGACUUCAGCCCUCCGGUGAUACCUGGUUCAGCGAAGACUAGGCCUUGGGGAGUGUUUACGGCUCUGUCACCAAAACAGCAUUGUGGCAGAAGUAUGGAACACCAGCAUAUACAUGUAAUGUAUCAGGACCUUCACAGGAUAACUUCUUCAGAUGACUGCAAAGCGCAACGUUGCAAAGCUCACUUCUAUCUACAACCCUAGUCACCAAUGACCGUGCACCACCAUAUCCCUUUGCUCACCAGUUCAAACAAACUACCGCCCUCGAGUCAGAAGGCUGUCCUCAUCGUCCAACACACAGCGGUAACAUCACCCCAGGACUUCAGCCCUCCGGUGAUACCUGGUUCAACGAAGACUAGGCCUUGGGGAGUGGUUACGGCUCUGUCAUAAGAGCAUUGUGGCACAAGUAGCCUCGAUCUCGACCAAGACAUUUUGAAUGCCACUCUGUAUGGCUCAGCAUACUUUUUUUUUCUUUAUUCAUACUAACGUGUGUUCAUGUCCAUUUUUCCACCUCUGAUUCUUACAUUUAUUUUCUGAUACCAUGUUUCUGUGUGAUUUUAGUCUUAUUUUUACUGGUAUGACAAUGUAAACAUAUACCUUUGUUCCACACAAGAUAUUUUGGGAUUUUGUGUGCACUUCCAUGUAACUACAUGUAUUUUUAUAUGAUAGUUUUUGUUUCUGAUUGUUCAAUUCCUUUUACGCUCUCAUUCCUUUAUAGUUGUAUCUUAUUUGAGACAGAGGAAGAGAGAGGGUGAAUAGUAGAGAGAGAGGGGGAUGCAGAAACAAAGCGCCAUUUAUGAUGUAUUUUAUUACAUUUGUGUUUUAACUUUGCACAUACAUUGCAAGAUUUUGGGAUUUAACACGUUUAUUUUUCUGUAAGUUUGUAAAUCCUUGUAUUCACACAGUGUUUUGAGUGAUAUAUUGUAAAGAUAGAUCUUAUGCAUGCUCCUUGGGGAAAAGAAGUUAUACAUGCAUGUCACUCUUCUUAUCUUGGCAUUACCGUAAUUCUUAUAUUGGUUGAUGUUGCUGAUAUAUGAAACAGAAUCUGAUGGAUAUCAUUGAUAACAGUUACUGUUUGUCUUCUUUUUAACAUCAGGAUAACAGAUCUUAGUAGUACAGCGAAAGACAAUUCACUGUAAUUUGUUAUAUUGUCAUAUAUUACACGAUUAUGAUUUUCAAUGGCACAUGUUUGUACACUACAAUUUUAUGUCAUUAGAGGUCACAUAUCCAGUUUGUUUCGUGAAUAGUCAAUAUUGGAUUAUGAUUAUAAUGUCAGUUUAUUUGCAACAUUUACCCCAUAUAUAGUGGUAUCUUACGAUCAACUGUCAAUAUCUACUGCAUUCACUAUACAUAGCAGUGUCUUGCUUGCUGUAACAAAGAGGUAUAUAGGGCUGUUAGGGAUUAUCCAUAAUGUACAUUGUUUUUUAGUUUUUAUUGUUAUUGUGUUUAUCUGAACUUAUGUUGUUUAUGUACCUGUUUUAUAUAUGUAUUCCAUUUCUGUUGAAUAUAUAUACAUGUUAAAAUGCCCUUUUCAGAGAUUUGUACAAUGCUGCUCUUUUCAGUAUGUGCUUUUAUUUUGGUAUAUCAAAUUUAAUUGGAUAUGCUGUUUUUAAAAUUUAUUUCUUUUAAAAUGUGUUCGAAGAUGAUAGGUGAUUACCAUUUGUAACAUUGCAUUGCGGUUCUUUUUUAGAUCGCCAAGGAAAUAGCGUGAUGUUAAGUUUGGUGCAGAAUGUCAUUUACAUGCAUGUAGAUAGGUCUAUGCAAUUUAGCUUUGACUUUGGUUAACAAUGAAUAGACCUGUUUACUAAUGUACUUCAUUUUAUGUUUCUCUCUAUAGUACAUGGUAGGGGGUGAAACAAGAAUACAAAGGUUAGAAGGAAAAGUUAAAGAAGAUUGGGGUUCAAUGGCACAUGUUUGUACACUACAAUUUUAUGUCAUUAGAGGUCACAUAUCCAGUUUGUUUUGUGAAUAGUCAAUAUUGGAUUAUGAUUAUAAUGUCAGUUUAUUUGCAACAUUUACCCCAUAUAUAGUGGUACCUUACGAUCAACUGUCAAUAUCUACUGCAUUCACUAUACAUAGCAGUGUCUUGCUUGCUGUAACAAAGAGGUAUAUAGGGCUGUUAGGGAUUAUCCAUAAUGUACAUUGUUUUUUAGUUUUAUUUUUAUUGUGUUUAUCUGAACUUAUAUCUCACUUGCUAUGUAGGGGGCCUUUCAUAUAAUCAGUAGGUAUCUUGUUUAUGUACCUGUUUUAUAUAUGUAUUCCAUUUCUGUUGAAUAUAUAUACAUGUUAAAAUGCCCUUUUUAGAGAUUUGUACAAUGCUGCUCUUUUCAGUAUGUGCUUUUAUUUUGGUAUAUCAAAUUUAAUUGGAUAUGCUGUUUUUAAAAUUUAUUUCUUUUAAAAUGUGUUUGAAGAUGAUAGGUGAUUACCAUUUGUAAUAUUGCAUUGCGGUUCUUUUUUAGAUCGCCAAGGAAAUAGCGUGAUGUUAAGUUUGGUGCAGAAUGUCAUUUACAUGCAUGUAGAUAGGUCUAUGCAAUUUAGCUUUGACUUUGGUUUGAUAAGCUUUGUUUAGUGCUUUGAACAUGAAUUUAACAAUGAAUA